AACGCAAAUUGCGCCCGAGGCCUCGGCCAAGGGCAUGUCUGCCUCAGCGUCGGUUUACACCCUCGCCCUCCCCUUCCCUGGUGGAGCGCGGAACUGGCCCUCUCGGCUCUCGCCUCUUAGGAGGCUUCCGGGUUGGCUGAAGCACAGAGGCUUGAGCAUGGACCCCGUCUGUAGGGCAAUGGCUUGGUAGGUAGGCACCCCCUACACACGCCUCCCGUUGUCCGAGGGGACUUUGCUGGACGCCCAGCAGGAAUUCGGUCCGGCUUGACCGGCCCGAAACUCACUCAUUCGACCUGAGCUCAGGCAAGACUACCCGCUGAACUUAA
rnacentral:misc_RNA from 1 species